UUAGGCUUCUGUGGCUUUAACGCUCGUUUACUAAUGUAGGUGCUUCAAACGGGUGCAAAAUGAUCUCGGUCGUGCUAGGGACGUGAUUUAGGCGUGUUGAACGCAUCGAUAUAUCAUGCCAAGAAAUAUGAGCACAUGACUCCGGUCUUCACUAAGUGAGUUAGCUAAACUGUGUCGGUAAAGCUUGCGGGUUGUUAGCUCCAUGCAGACAGCAGCAAUGGCCGCAGAAGUCAAACAAUUAUUUAUUUUAUCAGCUAAAUGAGAGUAUUUAAUCUCCCUGCUGGACUGCGCCUACAACUAGACUGUGAACGAUUAUUAUUAUUAAGAUUAUUAUUUUUAACUGGAUAUGAGACCAUCAGAACAUCAGACUACAUGUGAAAGAAGAAGCCUCUCCUCAAAGCGUGUCUGGAUGUGAGGGACUUCCAGGGCGUUACAAAUGGACUGCACGGCGCUGACGGAUGAGCUGUGAGACGGGCCAAAUACGGCCCCGACACCCAAAGCCAACUGGUCACAGGCUGAGCAAAUUUAAAGGCCAGUUCUUCAACACUGAUGGGCUCAUUCUCAAGAGUCUCGAAGAUGCCCCCUGCAGGAAGAGAAGAAAUGGCCGGCUCGACACAGCUGAGUGUCCCUCCCGUGCCGGCGCUCAAUUGAGGGCACAGCCGAGCCACUAAUCCGCAAACAUGGAUACGUCCUGAAGAUUAACUUCAAAUCUGGCAACAUUCGACCUCGACAACGUCUUUGCUUUGGUACACCGAGGAAUGAUUAAAUCUUUGCUCCAGUCCUGAUGGAAACGCAAAUCUAAUCUUCAAACUGGUCUGUGACGCUCCCUUGAAGAUUAACUACCUCAAACUGUUUAGCUGACACAAUCUCAUAGUAAAAUAAAAUGUGUUCACAUUA